rnacentral:ncRNA from 1 species
GUCUGUUAUCCCCAGAUAGUUCCUAUCGACGGAGAUAGUUGGCAUGUCGAUGUCGGUUUGUUGCAUCCUGAAGCUGAAGUAGGUCUCAAGGGUUGGUCUAUUCGCCCAUUAAAGCGGUAUGCGAGUUGGGUUCAGAACGUCGUGAGACUGUUC